GGAAGGUUAUGUUAGUUCCUGUUUAUUUUAAUAGUAAUAACCUUCUCAUUCAUGCUGGUGCCUACUUCUUUCCUUAUCUUUUGUCCUCCUUUUCUUUGAGACUGGAAAUUUAUUAUGCAUGACUGAUUUGUAAAAUCACCAUGUAUUUUGUAGCUGGACAGGAGAGAUUCAGAACAUUAACAAGCUCUUACUAUAGAAAUG
rnacentral:misc_RNA from 1 species